rnacentral:rRNA from 1 species
AGGGUUUGAUCCUGGCUCAGAUUGAACGCUGGCGGCAGGCCUAACACAUGCAAGUCGAACGGUAACAGGAAGCAGCUUGCUGCUUCGCUGACGAGUGGCGGACGGGUGAGUAAUGUCUGGGAAACUGCCUGAUGGAGGGGGAUAACUACUGGAAACGGUAGCUAAUACCGCAUAACGUCGCAAGACCAAAGAGGGGGACCUUCGGGCCUCUUGCCAUCGGAUGUGCCCAGAUGGGAUUAGCUAGUAGGUGGGGUAACGGCUCACCUAGGCGACGAUCCCUAGCUGGUCUGAGAGGAUGACCAGCCACACUGGAACUGAGACACGGUCCAGACUCCUACGGGAGGCAGCAGUGGGGAAUAUUGCACAAUGGGCGCAAGCCUGAUGCAGCCAUGCCGCGUGUAUGAAGAAGGCCUUCGGGUUGUAAAGACUUUUCAGCGGGGAGGAAGGGAGUAAAGUUAAUACCUUUGCUCAUUGACGUUACCCGCAGAAUAAGCACCGGCUAACUCCGUGCCAGCGGCCGCGGUGAUACGGGAGGGUGCAAGCGGUAUUCGUAAUUACUGGGCGUCAAGCUCACGCACGCGGUUUGUUAAAUCAGAUGUGAAAUCCCCCGGGCUCGACCUGGGAACUGCAUCUGAUACUGGCAGUCUUGAGUCUCGUAUAGGGGGGUAUAACUCCGCGUGUAGCGGUGAAAUGCUUAGAGAUCUGGAGGAAUACCGGUGGCGAAGGCGGCCCCCUGGACGAAGACUGACGCUCAGGUGCGAAAGCGUGGGGAGCAAACAGGAUUAGAUACCCUGGUAGUCCACGCCGUAAACGAUGUCGACUUGGAGGUUGUGCCCUUGAGGCGUGGCUUCCGGAGCUAACGCGUUAAGUCGACCGCCUGGGGAGUACGGCCGCAAGGUUAAAACUCAAAUGAAUUGACGGGGGCCCGCACAAGCGGUGGAGCAUGUGGUUUAAUUCGAUGCAACGCGAAGAACCUUACCUGGUCUUGACAUCCACAGAACUUUCCAGAGAUGGAUUGGUGCCUUCGGGAACUGUGAGACAGGUGCUGCAUGGCUGUCGUCAGCUCGUGUUGUGAAAUGUUGGGUUAAGUCCCGCAACGAGCGCAACCCUUAUCCUUUGUUGCCAGCGGUCCGGCCGGGAACUCAAAGGAGACUGCCAGUGAUAAACUGGAGGAAGGUGGGGAUGACGUCAAGUCAUCAUGGCCCUUACGACCAGGGCUACACACGUGCUACAAUGGCGCAUACAAAGAGAAGCGACCUCGCGAGAGCAAGCGGACCUCAUAAAGUGCGUCGUAGUCCGGAUUGGAGUCUGCAACUCGACUCCAUGAAGUCGGAAUCGCUAGUAAUCGUGGAUCAGAAUGCCACGGUGAAUACGUUCCCGGGCCUUGUACACUCCGCCC